GACUCCCUACGGGGCGCAGCAGUGAGGAAUAUUGGUCAAUGGUCGGGAGACUGAACCAGCCAAGCCGCGUGAGGGAGGAAGGUACAGAGUAUCGUAAACCUCUUUUGUCAGGGAACAAAGACUGGGACGCGUCCCCGGAUGAGUGUACCUGAAGAAAAAGCAUCGGCUAACUCCGUGCCAGCAGCCGCGGUAAUACGGAGGAUGCGAGCGUUAUCCGGAUUUAUUGGGUUUAAAGGGUGCGCAGGCGGUCUGUUAAGUCAGCGGUCAAAGCCCGGGGCUCAACCCCGGCCCGCCGUUGAAACUGG
rnacentral:rRNA from 1 species